GGCUGGUCCGAUGGUAGUGGGUUAUCAGAACUUACUAACAUUAGUGUCACUAAAGUUGGUGUUCAAUCCCCCACUGCUAAAUUUGACUGGCUAAAA
rnacentral:Y_RNA from 1 species